AGGAAACCUUUUGGAUUAUAGGUAGUUUCCUUGGCUAUAUCGUCUAAGAUCCUAUUAUACGAUAACAAUGAGAUGGUGACAUGGUUUAAAGAGCAAAAGUACCACUACAAGAGGAAACACAUAAAAAGGAAAUGUUACCUUAUUGUGAGAUAGUACAGGGAGGUGAUAUGACCGUGGAGCAGAAUUUUUCUACAAUGCCCAAUCUACUUUUGGAGUAAUUGGAGUUUAUUGAGAUUGAACCCCUAAAAGCAAGACAUGA
rnacentral:lncRNA from 1 species